rnacentral:ribozyme from 1 species
AAAGGAAAAAAAAAAAGGAAGAGAAGGCCACACAUUGUAAAAUAUUCACUAUCAUUUCGUGGCUAUCAUUAAAUUUAAAAUAGUUUUUCAGAACUCUGUGGUUUU